UCUUAUGGAAGAGAAGGUAAAUUUUACUGGUGCUUUAAUUUGGGAUUUUUUUACAGCAGGGUUUUGUUUUUCUGGCUUUGUUCUUACCUCUUUUUUUUUUUUUUUUAACUCUGUUUAUUUGUGGUUGUUUCUAAAGGGUUACCAGGUGCCUGUUCUUGGAACCCCAUCUUUGCUUGGACAGUCAUUAUUGCAUGGACAGUUGAUCCCCACAACUGGUCCUGUAAGAAUAAAUACUGCUCGUCCAGGUGGUGGUCGACCAGGCUGGGAACAAAGUAUAAACCGUGGGCGACACCACAGCGAAAGAUCACAGAGGACUCAAGGCCCGUCACUACCAGCAACUCCAGUCUUUGUACCUGUUCCACCACCUCCUUUGUAUCCGCCUCCUCCCCAUACACUUCCUCUCCCUCCGGGUGUUCCUCCUCCACAGUUUUCUCCUCAGUUUCCUCCUGGCCAGCCACCACCUGCUGGGUAUAGUGUCCCUCCUCCAGGGUUUCCUCC
rnacentral:sRNA from 1 species